AUAGUAAGUGUUAAAAGUAGUUCUUCGAUCUGAAAGAAAAAAACACUAACGUGGUAGCAGAAGUUACUGCAGCCGCAGUGUUGUGCUGUGGGGAAGGGAGAAGGAUUUGUAAACCCCGGAGCGAGGUUCUGCUUACCCGAGGCCGCUGCUGUGCGGAGACCCCCGGGUGAAGCCACUGUCAUCAUGUCUGACCAGGAGGCAAAACCUUCAACUGAGGACUUGGGGGAUAAGAAGGAAGGUGAAUAUAUUAAACUCAGUCAUUGGACAGGAUAGCAGUGAGAUUCACUUCAAAGUGAAAAUGACAACACAGCUCAAGAAACUCAAAGAAUCAUACUGUCAAAGACAGGGUGUUCCAGUGAAUUCACUCAGGUUUCUCUUUGAGGGUCAGAGAAUUGCUGAUAAUCAUACUCCAAAAGAACUGGGAAUGGAGGAAGAAGAUGUGAUUGAAGUUUAUCAGGAACAAAUGGGGAGUCAUUCAACAGUUUAGAUACUCUUAUUUUUCUUUUCCCUCAAUCCUUUUUCAUUUUUAAAAAUAGUUCUUUUGUAAUGUGGUGUUCAAAACGGAAUUGAAAACUGGCACCCCAUCUCUUUGAAACAUCUGGUAAUUUGAAUUCUAGUGCUCAUUAUUCAUUAUUGUUUGUUUUCAUUGUGCUGAUUUUUGGUGAUCAAGCCUCAGUCCCCUUACGUGUGCACAGAGAGCCCACCUUUUUCAGGACACUGCAUUUUCAGGCUUGUGGUAAUAAAUAAGAUCGACCAAUGCAAGUGUUCAUAAUGACUUUCCAAUUGGCCCUGAUGUUCUAGCAUGUGAUUAGUUCACUCCUGGACUGUAACUUUCAGUGGGAGAUGGAAGUUUUUCAGAGAACUGAACUGUGGAAAAAUGGCCU